UGGGGAAUAUUGGACAAUGGGGGCAACCCUGAUCCAGCCAUGCCGCGUGCGGGAAGAAGGCCUUCGGGUUGUAAACCGCUUUUGUCGGGGAAGAAACGCUCUGGGCUAAUGCCCUGGGGUAAUGACGGUACCCGAAGAAUAAGCACCGGCUAACUACGUGCCAGCAGCCGCGGUAAUACGUAGGGUGCGAGCGUUAAUCGGAAUUACUGGGCGUAAAGUGUGCGCAGGUGGCCGCGCAAGUCGAGUGUGAAAGCCCCGGGCUUAACUUGGGAAUUGCGCUCGAAACUACGUGGCUAGAGUGUGGCAGAGGAAGGUGGAAUUCCACGUGUAGCGGUGAAAUGCGUAGAGAUGUGGAGGAACACCAAUGGCGAAGGCAGCCUUCUGGGCCAACACUGACGCUCAUGCACGAAAGCGUGGGGAGCAAA
rnacentral:rRNA from 1 species